UAUAAACUCGUUCCCAGCCAGCCGCUGCCAAAUCCAACAGUUGUAGUUCCAGAUUCUGCCGAUUCAUGAUUUGGGUCUGGGUCACCCUGGCGAGACUUGUUCACUAAAGUUCACCCAAAUCCGGAAAGAUUGGAGUGUUUAAGAGCAGAAGGUAGAUUGCAUGGUGCAGUGAACAUCAAAGCUAACCCUAGUUAGUGAAUUAGUGUCUAAAUCCUAUCCAUUUAAUUACCACCCCUUAUUAAUAUAAUAUAUAUAUGUAUAUUUUACCUCGAGUAAAAAUGUGUUUCUUAUUGGUAGACGACGUUAUUAAUUAUUUAGCUGCAACUAACUCUAAGAAAAGCUUCGUUUGGGGCAUCCUAAAUAUUUUUUUGGUCGGGGACUAAACAUGCAUGAUCAUGAUGCAAGCAAACUAAGCGACAGAUUCCAGAAAGUUUUGGGGUAUCAAAAGACAGAGGCUUGGUUAUAUGCUCUUUGUUGUUCUAUUGUCACCUCUUAUAUUAUCAAUAAUAAAUAAUCCAGUGAUUACCAUCGAACUUUCCUUCAUAAUCAAAAGCUCCAUUAUUUUUCCUUCAUCCCUUCCACUAUCUAUCUAUCUCCUCUCGAAUAUGGACGCAAAGUUGUCAGUUGUUGUACAGCACUAUUGCCACUUGUCGCCUCUAUGCCACCCGCGGCGCAAGCACAGGUCCGAUCAUUCUCCCUCUCCCUACGUUGUUGCUGUGCUGAGCAGGUCACCGGACAAGUCCGUGGAACUGUCAGGCACGAUGGCUUCCAGGACCGUCUACAAGGAUAACUGGUUCGACCGUGCUGCCAUUAAUCACCUGUCCCAGAGGUUGCAAGAAACAACAGGAUUGCGAAGUAGCAAGAGUGGAUAUGAUGGGCUGGUGGAGGCAGCAGGAGUGGCUUAUCGGAAGUUUAAUUCAAGCCAACAACAAGAUCUUAUUAUUCAAACUCUUGAAAAGGCCUUCCCCCGCCCUAUUCUCUCUGCGAUAAGGGCCCUUCUGCCGCAAUCCAAAUUUGCAAGAGAAUUUUUUGCAGUCUUCACAACUAUUUUCUUUGCUUGGUUAGUUGGACCCUGCGAGGUGAGGGAGUCAGAAUUUGACGGCACAAAAGAGAAGAAUGUCGUCCACAUAAGGAAAUGCAGGUUCUUAGAGGGGACUAACUGUGUAGGAAUGUGCACCAAUCUUUGCAAAAUGUCAUCGCAAGAGUUCAUUAAAGACUCACUUGGCAUGCCACUCAACAUGGUUCCCAGAGAGGUGAUUGCAACUGUUAGGAACUUCAGGGGUGGUUUCUGCUAUUAUCCCUACUAUCAAUGUACAUGAGUAGUUGAGUGAAGGACGCAAAAAGAAAGUAAGAUCAUGUUGACGGAGCAACAGUACUUGCACUAGAUCAUGAAGCCCUUGCAAAGCAACCAUGGAGGGCCCCAUCUAUCAGCCACUUAAGGUGCAGCACAGGAAAUAUUUCCAUCAUAGAGCAGUUGAAAAUAGUAAAUUGCAAUGUAAGUACACCUGGCCAGGGAGGAAGGAAUUGAGGAAGGAAAAAGAGACCAGAUGCUGUUACCUGAUGCUCUUUCUACUGGCUGGACUUUGAUGAUAUGAGCUGUGACAUGAUAUUCGGCCAGGAACCUCCAUUGGUAAUCAAUGAUCCAGCAUUUGUGCAGCCAUGCUACAAAA